rnacentral:rRNA from 1 species
AGCGAACGCUGGCGGCAGGCCUAACACAUGCAAGUCGAACGAACUCUUCGGAGUUAGUGGCGGACGGGUGAGUAACACGUGGGAACGUGCCUUUAGGUUCGGAAUAAAUCAGGGAAACUUGUGCUAAUACCGAAUGUGCCCUUCGGGGGAAAGAUUUAUCGCCUUUAGAGCGGCCCGCGUCUGAUUAGCUAGUUGGUGAGGUAAAGGCUCACCAAGGCGACGAUCAGUAGCUGGUCUGAGAGGAUGAUCAGCCACAUUGGGACUGAGACACGGCCCAAACUCCUACGGGAAGCAGCAGUGGGGAAUCUUGCGCAAUGGGCGAAAGCCUGACGCAGCCAUGCCGCGUGAAUGAUGAAGGUCUUAGGAUUGUAAAAUUCUUUCACCGGGGACGAUAAUGACGGUACCCGGAGAAGAAGCCCCGGCUAACUUCGUG